AUUGAACGCUGGCGGCAGGCCUAACACAUGCAAGUCGAACGAGUGGCGGACGGGUGAGUAAUGUCUGGGAAACUGCCUGAUGGAGGGGGAUAACUACUGGAAACGGUAGCUAAUACCGCAUACCCUCAGAUGUGCCCAGCUGGGAUUAGCUAGUUGGUGGGGUAACGGCUCACCAAGGCGACGAUCCCUAGCUGGUAUGAGAGGAUGACCCGCCACACUGGAACUGAGACACGGGUCAGACUCCUCCGGGAGGCAGCAGUGGGGAAUAUUGCACAAUGGGCGCAAGCCUGAUGCAGCCAUGCCGCGUGUAGGAAGCAGGCCUUCGGGUUGUAAAGUACUUUCAGCGAGGAGGCGUUACCCGCAGAAGAAGCACCGGCUAACUCCGUGCCAGCAGCCACGGUAAUAC
rnacentral:rRNA from 1 species